rnacentral:rRNA from 1 species
UACGUAGGGUGCGGACGUUAAUCGGAAUUACUGGGCGUAAAGCGUGCGCAGGCGGUUCGUUAAGUUCGUUGUGAAAGCCCCGGGCUCAACCUGGGAACUGCAAUGGAAACUGGCGGGCUUGAGUGCGGCAGAGGGGGGUGGAAUUCCGCGUGUAGCAGUGAAAUGCGUAGAGAUGCGGAGGAACACCGAUGGCGAAGGCAGCCCCCUGGGCCGACACUGACGCCUCAGGCACGAAAGCGUGGGGAGCAAACAGG